CGCUAUGGGGUAAUAUGGAGCGCUAUGGGGUAAUAUGGAGCGCUAUGGGGGCACAUGGAGUGCUAUGGGGCAGCACCGGCCCCAUAGCAGCCCCUGCCCCACAGCGGCACCCCUCCCUAUGGCACCCCAUGGUGGUGGGGUGGCUGCUGUGGGGUAGGGGGUGCUGUGGGUCCGAUGCUGCUAUGGGGCAGGUGGUGCCAUAGGGUGGUUCCAUGGGGUGGGCUGCUGCUGUGGGGCAGGGGUUGCUGUGGGUCAGAGGCUGCUAUGGGGCAGGUGGUGCCAUAGGGUGCUGCCAUGGGGCGGGUGGAGCCACGGGGGUGGCGCUAUGGGGUGGGGUGCAGCUGUGGGGCAGGGGCUACUGUGGGUCAGAGGCUGCUAUGGGGCAGGUGGUGCCAUAGGGUGGUGCCAUGGGGUGGGCUGCUGCUGUGGGGCCGAUGCAGCUAUAGGGCAGGUGGUGCCAUAGGGUGGUGCCAUGGGGUGGGCUGCUGCUGUGGGUCAGAUGCUGCUAUGGGGCAGGUGGUGCCAUGGGGUGGCGCUAUGGGGUGGGCUGCUGCUGUGGGGCUGGUGCAGCUGUGGGGCAGGUGGUGCCAUAGGGGGCUGCAAUGGGGCAGAUGGUGCCAUGGGGUGGCGCUAUGGGGUGGAGUGCUGCUGUGGGGCAGGGGCUGCUGUGGGUCAGAUGCUGCUAUGGGGCAGGGGGGUGCCAUAGGGUGGGGUGCCGGUAUGGGGAAGGGGCUGCUAUGGGGCCGGUGCUGCCCCAUUGAACUCCAUGUGGCCCCAUAGCGCUCCAUAUUACCCCAUAGCUCUCCAGAUUACCCCAUAGCGCUCCAUAUAACCCCAUAGCGCUCCAUAUUACCCCAUAGCGCUCCAUAUUACCCCAUAGCGCUCCAUAUUGCCCCAUAGCGCUCUGUGUGCCCCCAUAGCACUCCAUGUUACCCCAUAGCGCUCCAUAUUACCCCAUAGCACUCCAUGUGCCCCCAUAGCGCUCCAUAUAACCCCAUAGCACUCCAUAUUACCCCAUAGCGCUCCAUAUUACACCAUAGCACUCCAUAUUACCCCAUAGCGCUCCAUAUAACCCCAUAGCUCUCCAUAUUACCCCAUAGCGCUCCAUAUUACCCCAUAGCACUCCAUGUGACCCCAUAGCUCUCCAUAUAACCCCGUAGCGCUCCAUAUUACUCCAUAGCACUCCAUAUUACCCCAUAGCACUCCAUGUGGCCCCAUAGCACUCCAUAUUACCCCAUAGCGCUCCAUAUGGCUCCAUAGCGGUCCAUAUAACCCCAUAGCGCUCCAUAUUACCCCAUAGGACUCCAUGUGACCCCAUAGCACUCCAUAUCACCCCAUAGCACUCAUUGUUGCCCCACAGCACUCCAUGUGCCCCCAUAGCGCUCCAUAUAACCCCAUAGAGCUCCACGUUGCCCCACAGCACUCCUUGUGGCCCCAUAGCGCUCCAUAUUACCCCAUAGCGCUCCAUGUGUCCCCAUAGCCCUCCAUAUUACCCCAUAGCACUCCAUGUGACCCCAUAGCACUCAUUGUUGCCCCACAGCACUCCAUGUGCCCCCAUAGCCCUCCAUAUUACCCCAUAGAGCUCUGUGUGGCCCCAUAGCACUCCAUAUUACCCCAUAGCGCUCCAUAUUACCCCAUAGCGCUCCAUAUUACCCCAUAGAGCUCCAUGUUACCCCAUAGCACUCCAUGUGGCCCCAUAGCGCUCCAUAUUACCCCAUAGCGCUCCGUGUGUCCCCAUAGCCCUCCAUAUUACCCCAUAGCACUCCAUGUGCCCCCAUAGCACUCCAUAUUACCCCAUAGCGCUCCAUAUAACCCCAUAGCACUCCAUAUUACCCCAUAGCGCUCCAUAUUACAACAUAGCACUCCAUAUUACCCCAUAGCGCUCCAUAUUACCCCAUAGCGCUCCAUAUAACCCCAUAGCGCUCCAUAUAACCCCAUAGCACUCCAUGUGCCCCCAUAGCAUUCCAUAUUACCCCACAGCAUUCCAUAUAACCCCAUAGCAUUCCAUAUUACCCCAUAGCGCUCCAUAUAACCCCAUAGCACUCCAUAUUACCCCAUAGCGCUCCAUAUUACAACAUAGCACUCCAUAUUACCCCAUAGCGCUCCAUAUUACCCCAUAGCGCUCCGUGUGUCCCCAUAGCCCUCCAUAUUACCCCAUAGCACUCCAUGUGACCCCAUAGCGCUCC
rnacentral:lncRNA from 1 species